rnacentral:rRNA from 1 species
UACAUGGGGUGCAAACGUUGCUCGGAAUUAUUGGGCGUAAAGCGCACGUAGGCGGUUUGUUAAGUCGGAUAUGAAAUCCCUCGGCUCAACUGAGGAAGUGCAUCCGAAACUGGCAAGCUUGAGUACGAAAGAGGGUCGCGGAAUUCCCGGUGUAGAGGUGAAAUUCGUAGAUAUCGGGAGGAACACCGGUGGCGAAGGCGGCGACCUGGGUCGAUACUGACGCUGAGGUGCGAAAGCGUGGGGAGCAAACAGG